UGGGGAAUUUUGCACAAUGGGGGAAACCCUGAUGCAGCGACGCCGCGUGAUUUAGAAGGCCUUCGGGUUGUAAAAAUCUUUUUUAUGGGAUGAAAAUGACAGUACCAUAAGAAUAAGGUCCGGCUAAAUACGUGCCAGCAGCCGCGGUAAUACGUAUGGACCGAGCGUUGUCCGGAAUCAUUGGGCGUAAAGGGUACGUAGGCGGCCCAGUAAGUUAGAAGUGAAAUAAUAUAGCUCAACUAUAUAAAGCUUUUAAAACUGCUAGGCUUGAGAGAUGGAAGGGAAAGUGGAAUUCCUAGUGUAGCGGUGAAAUGCGCAGAUAUUAGGAAGAAUACCGGUGGCGAAGGCGGGUCUCUGGGCCGUUACUGACGCUGAGGAGCGAAAGCGUGGGGAGCGAACAGG
rnacentral:rRNA from 1 species